rnacentral:rRNA from 1 species
GGUCUCUGCCAUACCACCCUGAACGUGCCUGAUCCUGUCUGAUUGCGGAAGCUAAGCAGGGUCAGGCCUGGUUAGUACUUGGAUGGAUGUAAUGUCUUGAAGAUAUCA